CCUGCUUUUUCCAGCAGUGUCCCUCACUAGAAUGGACGCUCCAUGAGAGCAGGGACCUGGUCUGCUUAUCCACCACUGUGUCCCCAGCGACCUCACCUGUGCCAAGCUCAUUAAGCAUUUACUGAAUGAAGGCUGGCUGAGGGCCCAGAGGGAGAAAAAUUUGUAUCAAAUAAGUAGAAUUUCAAGGAAGGGAGAACAAUGACAUGUCAAAUGCCAUAAGAUGGUCCUGAAAGACUAGGACUGACCAGUAACAGUUGACUUUGCUAAUUUUAGGGAGUUGUUAGUGACCCAAUCAAGAGCAAUUUCAGAGGAGUGAUGGGCCAGCAGCCACAGUGCAGCGGGUUGAGGGGAAAAUGGUGGCAACAGACAAAGCUGGAAUGAUUUUCUUCUGGUUCCCAGGCUGUCAAAGACCCCAGCUCGUCCUGCAUGCUGCAAAGGACCCUGGGGGUAUUACCGAACAUGAAGAGGAGAUAGUCCAGGUGCUUGUCCUUGACGGUGUCUGUCUCCAUGGAGGAUAGUGGAUUCUGGAGCCAGGAAGCCAGAGAGUAAUGGACAUAGCGUGCCGCUGGCUUUACUUCAUCUGAGUCUUGGCUUUUAACAGGGGAUAUAACGCAUUCCAAGAGCCCAGCCCCCAGCCCCAGAUUCAGAUUCAUUCAUUGUGAGACAUCAGCCUGGAGUGUGGGACCCCAGGAGCCACAGAGAACCUGGCAGUGACCUGGCUGAGCAAGGGCCUCCCCAGGGAGUUGGAGCCGAGAGAGACACUGGGGCCAGCCCCCGACUCCAGGAAUCUAAGCCUGAGCCUGCCCCUGGGCCAGUUGAAUGGCCACCUCACCUGUGUGGUCAGCAACCCUGUGGACAAGAAGAAUGCAACUUACACCUGGAGAACAUCUGUCCAUCGGCGGAAAUUGGACCAACGUGUGGAGACUGCUGCAUCACCCAGGACAUAAAUCUGGGACUGGCAUGUGGGCACCCCCUUUCCCAGCACUGAGGAGCCCAGAAGACUGAAUUAGUCAUCAGAAUCCAAGCAGGGGAGGAGGAGGACUUGAGGAUUAAGGACUGAGGAUUCCCUAGACCUGGAAAGCUCAUGUCGCCCAGACUCAGGCCCUCCCUGGAUGGGCUGGAAAAGCUUAGCACAUUCAGGCUGGAAGAUGGCCAUUUUUUGCUGCAUGACAGAUGUGCCAUUUCUGAGAUGAUUAACACCUCUGAGAUUAUGCAGCAGGAACAAGGGAUGGAAAAAAGGAGGAUGAGUCCAGCGGCCUCCUCCCACCCACAUCCCCCUAGGCUCUGCUUGCUCACGUGGGGCUCCCGUCUGAACAGUCUCCUCCAUGUCAUUUCCUCACUCGCUCAGCCACCCAGCAUUCAACCCUCGCACUAGGACUGAAGGCCUACCAUGUGCUGGGGGGGCGUCAGUGAGCCGUAAGCUGAGCCCCGCCCUCAAGGAGCUCAGAGUGCGGUAGGGCAUCACCACAUACCAGCUGUGUGACCCUGGACAAGUCGCUUGAUUUUUGGAGCCUUUUUAGCAAACGGCUUUGGAGAGGCAUCCGUCCCACGGUUCUGAUGGUGGGCCUGGGCGCUGGAGUGUGGAUCUGGAUGAGGAAGAAGACGGAGACUGGGAGAGGUGGGUCUGCUCUCCUGCCCGAGGGGCCCAGCUCAGCAGCUGCUCCCCAGGCCCUUCCCACAGAAGAAUCUGCUGACCUGCACACUGGUGGGGCUGAUAGCCACGACUCCCCCUACAUGAAGAUCAGACUCCUGGGACACCCUGAGGAUGCUGGGAGCUGAGGUGCAAUGAGAGGAAACCACCGAUGAGGAGUACACCUCAACCAACUGUCCACAAUCUCAUCAGAUGUCGCUGCCACCCAGGGAGGAGGGGUGGCAGAGCAGGAGAGGCAAGAAUGUAAAUGGACAGGUGUCUGGUAGACCCUGCCAUCUGCAUAGGACCCAAAGGAAGCAAAAGCAGGAAGACAUGGAGAAGGGCAGCUGCCAUUCAUACAGCCCGAGUGUGCUCCAGUAGUCCACACUAUCUUUGAGAAGAUCCAGAAAAGCCCAGAACCCCAGGGUGACACCGAGGCCGUGAAGACCCUGGGGCAGUGAGGGGGCCUUCGCAAGAUCUCCCCCACCCCACCAUUCACCCCAGCAUCCUAAGAUCUCCCUCCUUCAGGUGGACCUGGGACUAGACCCCAAGUCUUUCUGACCCAUCCCACUGAGACAGCAGAGCAGCAGGAGCUGCUCCCCUGGGUUCCCCACCAAAGCUUUCUCCCUUCACAGACUGUGGGCAGUGAUGGUGCUACUCGAAUAUCCAAGUGUGAGAGGUAAGCCUUUCAGCAGUCAGCCAGAUUUCUGACCUGUGACCAUCUUAACCCCAUUAGGGAACACCCAUGGUUAGGCAGGACCUGCAUACGGAUGGUCAGGGGAUAGAGAUGCUUUCCUGGAACAGGGAGAGUCCUGGUGCCUCUGAGAAUGAUGAGUCUUGGGUGGAGGAACUUCAGGAUGUCAUAGCCCAGCCCAGUACCCAAGAAUAGAGAAAGGGAUGGCCUUUGACUAUGGAAAAGCCAGAGGCUGGCAGAUACAAGAUUCCGGGUCAGUUGUGCCUGGGAGGGGUGGAAAGGGAGGGAAAUGCUUUUUGAGCUCCAGUACCUACCAGGCUUAAUCUAAGCACAGUAAAUGAACUAUCUCAGGAUUUUGCAAAUUCAAGUAAUUCACAGACCCUUUUAUUUUUAUUACAUGAUAUAUGCAUACAGUAUAAAACUCAAAAGGCAGCUCUUGUUGACAUGAUAAUGUUUCAGCAUCUUAUUGCUAUUGUAAAUGGGGUCUUGUUCCCAUUAGAUCUUCCAACUAGUUGAUUAAAAUAAUGCACACAUAACAUAUAUAAAUUUUCAUGUUACUAAGUUUCUUUUCUGUUUGUAACAGUUUUUCAUUUGAUCUCUUUGAAUAUCUGAGUAAAUAACCAUAUUAUCAACAAAUAAUUAUAAUUUUUGCUUCCUUCUUUCCAAUUUUUAUGCCACAUUCCUUUCUCUUGUCUAAUUGCAUUGGCUAAUAGCUCCAAAGCCAUGCUAAAUAAUACUGAUAAAGAUGUCCUUGUAUUGUUCCUAACUUUAAUAUAAAUGCUUCUAGUGUUUCUCCAUUAAGCAUGAUGUUUUUAUUAGGUUAAGGCAUAUCUGUUUUAUCAUGUUAGGAAAGCAUGUAUUUAUUCCUAUUUUAUCAAGACUUAUACUGAGAAUAAAAUGUUAAAUUUUAUCAUUUCUCAUUUCACCUGUGCAAAUUUCACAUG
ensembl:lncRNA